GCAUGUCGAACGGUCUCUUCGGAGAUAGUGGCGGACGGGUGAGUAACGCGUGAGAGUCUGGCUCUAGGUCGAGGAUAACAGAUGGAAACGUCUGCUAAUACUGGAUAUGCCGAGAUGGUGAAAGGUUAACUGCCUGGAGAUGAGCUCGCGUUAGAUUAGCUAGUUGGUGGGGUAAAAGCCUACCAAGGCGACGAUCUAUAGCUGGUCUGAGAGGACGAUCAGCCACACUGGGACUGAGACACGGCCCAGACUCCUACGGGAGGCAGCAGUGGGGAAUUUUCCGCAAUGGGCGAAAGCCUGACGGAGCAAUACCGCGUGAGGGAGUGAAGGCUUUUGGGUUGUAAACCUCUUUUCUCAAGGAAUAAGAAAGUGAAGGUACUUGAGGAAUAAGCAUCGGCUAACUCCGUGCCAGCAGCCGCGGUAAUACGGAGGAUGCAAGCGUUAUCCGGAAUGAUUGGGCGUAAAGCGUCCGUAGGUGGUUUUGUGUGUCUGCUGUUAAAGCGUGCGGCUCAACCGCAUAAGGGCGGUGGAAACUACAAGACUAGAGUGCGUUCGGGGGCAGGGGGAAUUCCCAGUGUAGCGGUGAAAUGCGUAGAGAUUGGGAAGAACACACAGGUGGCGAAAGCGCCCUUGUUCUUAGGCCGUAGAGCUGACACUGAGGGACGAAAGCUAGGGGAGCGAAUGGGAUUAGAUACCCCAGUAGUCCUAGCCGUAAACGAUGGAUACUAGGCGUUGAGAGUAUCGACCCUCUCAGUGUCGUAGCUAACGCGUUAAAGUAUCCCGCCUAGGGAGUACGCACGCAACUGUGAAACUCAAAGGAAUUGACGGGGGCCCGCACAAGCGGUGGAGUAUGUGGUUUAAUUCGAUGCAACGCGAAGAACCUUACCAGGACUUGACAUCCCGCGAAUCCUACUGAGAACAGAGGUAGGUGCCUUCGGGAGCGAGAACACAGGUGGUGCAUGGCUGUCGUCAGCUCGUGUCGUGAGAUGUUGGGUUAAGUCCCGCAACGAGCGCAACCCACGUCCUUAGUUGCCAUCAUUAAGUUGGGAACUCUAGGAGAGACUGCCGGGGACAAACUCGGAGGAAGGUGGGGACGACGUCAAGUCAUCAUGCCCCUUUACAUCCUGGGCUACACACGUACUACAAUGCAACGGACAAAGGGCAGCCAAGCUAGCGAUAGCAAGCAAAUCCCAGAAACCGUGGCACAGUUCAGAUUGUAGGCUGCAACUCGCCUACAUGAAGGAGGAAUCGCUAGUAAUCGCAGGUCAGCAUACUGCGGUGAAUUCGUUCCCGGGCCUUGUACACACCGCCCGUCACACCAUGGAAGCAUGGUCACGCCCGAAGUAGUUAUCCUAACCAAAAGGGAGGGAGAUUCCGAAGGCAGGGCUGGUGACUGGGGUGAAGUCGUAACAAGGUAGCCGUACCGGAAGGUGUGGCUGGAUCACCUCCUUUAAGGGAGACCGAACCCGCUUACAGAUGACAACUUUCGAGUUGAGAAAAUCGUAAGUAGGUCUAACCUAGGUCGGUCGCGAUACAUAUUAAUUAUUUUCCUUCAAGCUAUGUUCCCGGUUUGGAUGUGAAGCUCAGCAAUGGAUGUAGAAUCCAACUGCUGGGUGGAAGCUCAGCGAAAGAACCUUGAAAAUUGGAUAGAGAAAAGAAGGCAGUACAAAAUCACAGAUAGGAAUAUUUUGUGAGAGAGUAAAGUGGGUCAAGCGAAUAAGAGC
rnacentral:rRNA from 1 species